GGAUGUGAGGGAGAUCUGGCUGCAACACCUGUCACCCCAUUGAUCGCCAGGGUUGAUUCUGCUGAUCUGGCUGGCCAGGAGGGCAUCUUCUUCCUCCCUCACCGCUCCGUGUGUGUCCCUCCUGUCCCUCCCGAAGCUGGUCACUUGGUCGAAGAGGACUAUCUUCCCUGAAUUGAGG
rnacentral:snRNA from 1 species